CCCCCCAAACUUACUACUCUUCUUCUCCUCCACGUAGCCCUGCUGCUGCCCGUAGUAGCUACUCUGCCCGUACGCCGGAGGAGCUCCUCCGUACGCCGGGUACCCCGACGGCGGUGCCGCAUACGACGGCUGCGGCGGCGCCCCGUAGGUGCUCGCGUACGGAAAGUCCCUGGUCCCGGGCGGCGCCAUGCCAUACGGCGGCGCAUAGUAGGGUUCCGGCGCACGAUAGCUGGGAUCGCGGACGGUGAGGGAGAUGUCGAGCUUCCCAUGCGGGCGGCCGGAGGGGCGCUUGAGGUGGAGCGUGCGGUCGGCGCGGAUGCCGAGGCCGACGUCGUCGACGACGUCGCGGAGGGGGAGGCGCGCCGAUCCGAUGAGCGGCUUGGUGUCCUCGGCGGCUUCGGCGUGGACGAUGUCGAUGUGGAGCGUGGAUUCGUCGAGGGGAGUGUUGAAGGGGAUGAGGAGUUUGUGAUCCCAGUAGGGGGAGGUGUCGCCGUCGCCGUCGAUGGGGGUGGAGGACUUGGCGUUGGGGUCUACCCAGACGACGGCGUAAGGCUUGAGCUUGCCGUGGCGCCAGUUGACGUUUUUGAGGUCUUUGGCGGAGGUGACGGUCACCUCUACUUGGUAGCGCGACG
rnacentral:lncRNA from 1 species